CUCUCGAACUAUAGGGUUUCCAUCUCCGAAACCUCCCUCUUCAGCUCUCCCCCUUAGGGUUUCAAUUUCAUCCCAAUAAUGUACAUAAAGGAGAUCUGCUUGGAGGGCUUCAAAUCCUACGCCACUCGCACGGUCUUCCCUGGCUUCGAUCCCUACUUCAAUGCCAUCACGGGCCUUAAUGUUGGGCAUUACCAAUUUGCAGCAGGUCCGCUUCCAAUCUCCAGGAGCUGGUCCAUAACAAAGGCCAAGCUGGGAUUACUAAGGCCACCGUGUCGGUGGUGUUCGAUAAUUCUGAUAGGAGUCGGAGUCCGCUCGGCUACCAGGAUUGUCCAGAUAUUACGGUAACACGGCAGAGCCUAGACUACUUGAAGAGGCACAUGCCAGCCGUUGGUUUAUUUGUCUAUGGACGGUAAAUUCCUUGUUUACUGCAAACUGAGAUAAUGUACUUGUUUUGAGGAAUGUCGAACUCCCUGAUUGGUGUUGAGGGAGAUAUUCAAGCGGUUCACUUGCCACACAUUCGUUUUUCUUUUAAAAAUCUUAAACAGAACAUGAAUAAAUAGUCUGAAAUAAGCUCUUAUCUCUUA